rnacentral:misc_RNA from 1 species
GGAACCUGCGGUUGGAUCACCUCCUUACCUCAGAUACGCAUUGCGCAGUGUCCACACAGAUUGUCUGAUAGAAAGUAACGAGCAAAUAAGGCCGGGCUGAGAGAUUAGUCGGGCUUUAGUACCUUGUUGGGUCUGUAGCUCAGGUGGUUAGAGCGCACCCCUGAUAAGGGUGAGGUCGGUGGUUCAAGUCCACUCAGACCCACCAACUCAUCCUCAUACUGCGUGACUACGCCUGGUCUGAGAAUGAGUUAUGCCGAUAAGGUAUUUUGCUUUUUAUAUGGGGCUAUAGCUCAGCUGGGAGAGCGCCUGCCUUGCACGCAGGAGGUCAGCGGUUCGAUCCCGCUUAGCUCCACCAUAUAAAAAACUAUUUCAAAAUGUACUGCGGUCGCAAGACACAGUGUGUUGUGAAAUAUUGCUCUUUAACAAUCUGGAACAAGCUGAAAAUUGAAACAAUACAGCUGAAACUUAUCUCUCCGUAGAAGUACUGAGAUAAGGAUUAACCUGUAUUAGAGUCUCUCAAAUAAUUGCAAUGCCAAUGUGUUUAUCAUUGUUGCAGUGUGAGCGAGAAGAUACUCAGUAAGGCGUACAGCGCACAGCAACCGGAGUGAACGCUACGUUCAUGAAGAUUGCGCGCACUGCACAACGACGCAGAGUGUGUUCGUAGCCACACCAAUAAAGAAGAAACAUCUUUGGGUUGUGA